UCCUGUCUGUCUUCUCUGCACUGGGAGCAGCUCUCCUGCCAUAGCCCCUCACCCCGUAAAAAUGUAUGCCUGCUCCAAAUUCAUCUCCACUCCCUCCUUGGUCAAGAGCACCUCACAGCUGCUGAGCCAUCCACUAUCUGCAGUGGUGUUGAAAUGACCGGAGACAAUGGCAGAUGAGAGUCUCAGCAGCUUGGCAGUCUCAUGUCCCCUUACCUCAUCAUUGGUUAUGCCAGGAACGCUUCUCUGAAGCAGGAGCUGUUCU
rnacentral:lncRNA from 1 species